UCUCCGUCGGUGAACCAGCGGAGGGAUCAUUACCGAGUUUACAACUCCCAAACCCAAUAUGAACGUUACCAAACUGUUGCCUCGGCGGGAUCUCUGCCCCGGGUGCGUCGCAGCCCCGGACCAAGGCGCCCGCCGGAGGACCAACCUAAAACUCUUAUUGUAUACCCCCUCGCGGGUUUUUUUAUAAUCUGAGCCUUCUCGGCGCCUCUCGUAGGCGUUUCGAAAAUGAAUCAAAACCUUCAACAACGGAUCUCUUGGUUCUG
rnacentral:misc_RNA from 1 species